CCUACGGGAGGCAGCAGUGGGGGAUAUUGCACAAUGGGGGGAACCCUGAUGCAGCGACGCCGCGUGGGUGAAGAAGCGCCUCGGCGCGUAAAGCUCUGUCAGCAGGGAAGAAAAUGACGGUACCUUAAGAAGAAGCCCCGGCUAACGACGUGCCCGCAGCCGCGGGAAUACGUAGGGGGCCAGCGGUAACCGGGUUUCAGGGGUGGAAAGGGGGCGCUGGCGGGGAUGCAAGCCAGGAGUGAAAGCCCGGGGCUCAACCUCGGAAUUGCCUCUGAUACUGUUCGGCUAGAGAGUAGUUGCGGUAGGCGGAAUGUAUGGUGUAGCGGUGAAAUGCGUAGAGAUCAUACAGAACACCGAUUGCGAAGGCAGCUUAC
rnacentral:rRNA from 1 species